rnacentral:lncRNA from 1 species
UUGAUUUGUCCUUCGAUAGUCUCCGAAAAAGGUUUUGGCAAGCCAUAUUUGUUUAAGAAUUGGAUCAGUCUCGAGUAAGGUUUUUUUAACUCAAAUUUAGUCUCGCUCAAAUAUAAAAGUAAAAGAUUUAUUGUUUUUUCUUACUAUUUUCUUGUUAUGUUUUUCAUUAUUUUACUACAAUUUCGUAAUUAUGUUAUUACUACUUUGUUAUUAUUUU